rnacentral:lncRNA from 1 species
AGGGGGAUGUGUGUGUAUGGGCAGGGGAGGGAUACAGUGUGAUGUGCAGUUUUCCUAUUUUUGUAAAUACUUACGUAUCUGCAGGGAGAAGGUGUAUGAAGCUCUGGUGGAGGCCAGGGACCGGGGCAGCAUGGUGCUGAGGCUGUGGGAGGAGCAGGAACUGCAGGUCAGAGCUAAAUCUUCACUCCUGGUCCCGGAGGGCUGCAGUUCACCAGCUUCUACAGAAGUCCCCCGCCUGUCUGGCCUGGUGCUUUCUUCGGGGUGCAGGACUCUCUGUGUCCCCCAGGAGGAGGAGAGGUGCAGGAGAGCAGAGUGGUGGUGGCCUCUGUGCGCCAGGCCGAGCCUCUCGUGCAGUUUGUGCUGGACACAGGUACGACUGGCUGCAGGCCCGCAGGGGAGCACUCUGUUAGGUAUUUUAAAAGGGUCUACCCGUUUGCCUUCUCGAUCCUAGCUCUCAUGGGCUUAUUCAGUGCACAGAAACAGGUCUUGAACAGAAGUUCCCCAUUCUGGGAACAUGUGGGCUAAGA